GCUGACUUGACUUCGACAGCAUUUUAGCGCGCUUGAGGAUGAUGCAGAUGAUGUGACGGUUGACAGACAUGCCCGAGCUUACAUUUUGUACCUGUUUGGAUGCAUCUUGUUUCCGGACAAGAGCGGCGACUCGGUACAGUUGAUCUGUCUCCCUCUACUGGGAGACUUGGAGCGCGUAGAUGAGUACAGUUGGGGAAGUGCUACCCUAGCGUAUCUGUAUCGUAACUUAUGUCGAGCAUCUCGUAAGGGUGCCAAGGAAAUGGGUGGAUGCUUGAUGUUGUUACAGAUAUGGUCAUGGGAGCACAUUCAUAUAGGGAGGCCCAUUAUUCGGACGGGUCGACCGGAUGGGCAACAUGAUCAGGAAGAUGACGCGGAUGAUUUUGAACCGAUAUUAGGGUCACAGCAUCGGCGCGGGAUGGAUCCUUUGGCAGUAAGCUAGCUUCGCGUAUAUCUUUCGAGAUCCCACUCCCCACAUACUCUCGUCUACUACAGGGACGCACUAGAUCGACAACGGGACGAGCAGAUGACAUGGCAGCCUUACACAGCGGCUAAGAUGGAAGCUCUACCGCACAUAUGUACAUCGGGCCACGAGAUUUGGAGAUCGCGUUGUCCUCUUAUUUGCUUUGACAUCGUCGAGCUACAUCUCCCG